rnacentral:rRNA from 1 species
GAUGAACGCUGGCGGCGUGCCUAACACAUGCAAGUCGAGCGAGAAAUCUUUGAACAAAUCUUCGGAAGAGUGAUGAGAUAGAAAGCGGCGGACGGGCGAGUAACGCGUAGGCAACCUGCCCCAUACAGAGGGAUAGCCCCGGGAAACCGGGAUUAAAACCUCAUAACACGGAGGAUUCACAUGUUUCUUCCGUCAAAGAUUUAGCGGUAUGGGAUGGGCCUGCGUCUGAUUAGCGAGUUGGUGGGGUAACGGCCUACCAAGGCAACGAUCAGUAGCCGACCUGAGAGGGUAAUCGGCCACAUUGGAACUGAGACACGGUCCAAACUCCUACGGGAGGCAGCAGUGGGGAAUAUUGCACAAUGGGCGAAAGCCUGACGCAGCAACGCCGCGUGAGCGAUGAAGGCCUUUGGGUCGUAAAGCUCUGUCCUUGGGGAAGAAAAAAAUGACGGUACCCUUGGAGGAAGCCCCGGCUAACUACGUGCCAGCCGCCGCAGUAACAC